CUCAACCACCAGUAUCUGAUGCCAGAGAACGUGGUGGAGGAGAAGAUCAAGGAGCUGGACCUGAACAUGGUGAUGGCCGAGAUCCGCAGGGAGGGGAGGCCUGGAGCCCAGUGGAGGUACUCAGAGGUUUCCUUCCUGGAGCUUGACAAGUUCUUGGAGGAUGUCAGG